UGCCCGUGUGCAUUGUUCCUGAAUCGUUGGCGGCCCUGUGGUGUCCUUGCAGUGUUGAAUUGUCCGGGUAUAUGCUUUAAUUCCCACCCCCCAUCACAUGAUCAGUUGCACAAGGCAGUGAGUUCUCCACUGUGACUCACUCAGGAAGGAAGAACUGCAGUUAUUGAGUGCACUGACAGCCUUGGACUGUUUCAAAGCACUUGUGAGGAAUAUAACAGCUCAUUUGUGCACAGAGACUUCAGCACAUAAUCGAGGUCGACAGUCCAAGUGCUGAGGGAGUGCUGCACUGUUGGAGUUGCCAGCUUUCGGAGGAGAUGUUAAACCAAGGGCCCUUCUGCCUCCUCGGGUGGACGCAAAAGACCCCAUGGCCGCUGUUCCAAAAGAAGAGCAGUGCAACUCUUCCUGGUGUUUUGAGCCCUUGUUUAACUCUCAACCAGCGGAUUAUCUGGUCAUUAUCACGUUGCUGUUUGUGGGAGCUUGCUGUGCACAAAUUGGCUGCUGCGUUUCCUACAUUACAACUGUGACCAUACGUCAAACAAUACUUCAUUGGCUGGAAAACGCUUUGCAAUAAUGGCCAGAGAAAUCUAUCAAUCUCAGCUUUGACGUUGCUAAUUGACCUCCAACCUCAACAGCUUUUUGGGGAGAGAGUUCCAGAUUUCCAUUCACCUUUGUGUGAAGUGCUUCCUGACAUCACCUCUCAACGGCCUGGCUCAAAUUUGAAGGUUCUGCCCGCCUGUUCUGGACUCUUUUCCCCCCACCCCAAACAAAGAGAGAGGUAGAUAGAGAGAACCUGUCAAAUGUUUUAGUCAUCUUAAACACCUCUAUUAGACCACUCCUUAUGUUCUUUACUCAAGGGAAUACAAGACUAGUCUGUACAACCUGCCCUCUGCAUUCUCCUGGGAGGGGUACCAGCUAUACCCUUACCACCCAGCUCUAACAAUGCCAAUGCUUCAACGAUCAAAGAUAUUUGAAGGAACCAGAGAUCUUUUAGCAUCUGGAAAGAGAAAGGGGCUACAUCUGAAGCAUUAAUUCACUAUUUCUCUUAGAAGGUCCAAGCGGGCAUGCCAGAAUAUUCCCAGUUUACAGGGGGAAUGAACUGUAUAUUACAUUGAAUGUCCAGCACAGAACUAGGCCAUCUGCUCUGUGCUGGUGUUUCUGCUCCACAUGAGCCUCCUCCCAUCGCCUCUUCAUCUCCCCUUAUCAGAAUAUCCUAUUCCUUUCUCCCUCAUAUGUUUAUCCAGCUUCUCCCUUAAAUGUAUCGAUACUGUCCACCUGUGGGAGCGAGUUCCACAUUCUCCCCACUCCCUAGCUUUCACAUAGUAAAUGCCCCAAGGCUUUUCACAGGGGUUUCAUCACAAUAACUGACACCAAACCACAUUAAAGCGAUUAGGGGCAGGUGACCAAAAGCUUGGUCAAAGCUUUUAAGCAGCGUCUAAGAGGAGGUUUAGAGAGGGAAUUCUUGAACAAAGGGUGAACUAAGAUUUUAAUUCUUUGGCUAUGGAGGAUGUCAAAAUAAUGUUUUCACCUGUUUCUAUUCAGAACUUGGUUUUAAUUGUUUGCAAUCUGAAUUCUGAGAUUGGAAUAGAAGCAUCAUUGAAUAAGAUCAUGACUCCCAAG